rnacentral:lncRNA from 1 species
UUACACAGAGGGAAGGUGUUAGCACCCAAAGUGUCCUAGGUACUCUUAGGGAUCCCUUUUUGUGUGCAUAUGUAUUUUGUACAAAGUGAUGUGUACAAACAAAUAGAAUGGGGGGUGAGAAAAGAAUUCAUUAAUUAUAUUUUUGUGUUUGACAAGACCUUCGGUCUUGUGCCUACGUACCAACAUAAAAAUGAGGGAUCAAAACCU